GACGAACGCUGGCGGCGUGCUUAACACAUGCAAGUCGAACGGAAAGGCCCUGCUUUUGUGGGGUGCUCGAGUGGCGAACGGGUGAGUAACACGUGAGUAACCUGCCCUUGACUUUGGGAUAACUUCAGGAAACUGGGGCUAAUACCGGAUAGGAGCUCCUGCUGCAUGGGGGGGGUUGGAAAGUUUCGGCGGUUGGGGAUGGACUCGCGGCUUAUCAGCUUGUUGGUGGGGUAGUGGCUUACCAAGGCUUUGACGGGUAGCCGGCCUGAGAGGGUGACCGGCCCCUUUGGGCCUGUGAUACGGCCCAUACUCCUACGGGCGGCAGCAGUGGGGAUUAUUGCACAAUGGGCGGAAGCCUGAUGCAGCAACGCCGCGUGCGGGAUGACGGCCUUCGGGUUGUAAACCGCUUUCGCCUGUGACGAAGCGUGAGUGACGGUAAUGGGUAAAGAAGCACCGGCUAACUACGUG
rnacentral:rRNA from 1 species